rnacentral:rRNA from 1 species
AGUGAACGCUGGCGGCAGGAGGAAGAAAUGGAAGUCGAACGAGUGGCGGACGGGUGAGUAAUGUCUGGGAAACUGCCCGAUGGAGGGGGAUAACUACUGGAAACGGUAGCUAAUACCGCAUACCAUCGGAUGUGCCCAGAUGGGAUUAGCUAGUAGGUGGGGUAACGGCUCACCUAGGCGACGCACCCUAGCUGGUCUGAGAGGAUGACCUGCCACACUGACACUGAGACACGGUCCAGACGCCUACGGGCGGCAGCCGUGGGGAAUAUUGCACAAUGGGCGCAAGCCUGAUGCAGCCAUGCCGCGUGUAUGAAGAACGCCUUCGGGUUGUAAAGUACUUUCAGCGAGGAGGCGUUACUCGCAGAAGAAGCACCGGCUAACUCCGUUCCAGCCGCCGCGGUAAUUC